rnacentral:rRNA from 1 species
UACAGAGGGUGCGAGCGUUAAUCGGAAUCACUGGGCGUAAAGCGCACGUAGGCGGCUUGGUAUGUCGGGUGUGAAAUCCCCGGGCUCAACCUGGGAACUGCAUCCGAAACUGCCUUGCUAGAGUAUGGGAGAGGGAAGUGGAAUUUCCGGUGUAGCGGUGAAAUGCGUAGAUAUGUGGAGGAACACCGAUGGCGAAGGCAGCCCCCUGGGUCGACACUGACGCUCAUGCACAAAAGCGUGGGGAGCAAACAGG